rnacentral:rRNA from 1 species
UCCUACGGGGCGCAGCAGUAGGGAAUUUUCGUCAAUGGGCGCAAGCCUGAACGAGCGAUGCCGCGUGAGUGAAGAAGGCCUUCGGGUCGUAAAGCUCUGUUGCGGGGGAAAAAAGGCAGCAUCAGGAAAUGGGUGCUGACUGAUGGUGCCCCGCCAGAAAGUCACGGCUAACUACGUGCCAGCAGCCGCGGUAAUACGUAGGUGGCGAGCGUUAUCCGGAAUGAUUGGGCGUAAAGGGUGCGCAGG